AGGUUGAGGUCGGGGCAGCGCUCUUCGUCCAUGCUCGUGACACUGCUGUGCCCGUCCUCGGCCAUGUCGUUCGGCUUCACGGCUUCGUCGGCUGCCAUGGGAAUGCCUUGCCGGUGAGAAGGAACGCCGCCGAUGGGAAGGCGCCCGGCGAUCAGAGACCACCUGAAACCACAAGACAUUGGCAUCGUAAGAAGGAGGACACGCAAGAGAAGUGUAGCAGCAACAGCAGCAGCUGAUACGUACUUGUUUCCGAGCAAGCCAUGCAGCUUAAUGAUGAGCUCGUCGUCUUCCUCGGUGAAGUUGCCGCGCUUGAGGCCAGGCCGCAGGUAGUUGAUCCACCGAAGGCGGCAGCUCUUGCCGCAACGAAGGAGACCUGAGAACCAAACCAUCCAUCAGCACCCAACUCCACCCUCUAACUCAUAACCUGCGACAUUAGGACUCAACAGACCUGCAGCUUUGGGGAGCGACCUCCAGCAUCCUUCGCCAUGAGCCUUGAUGUAGGCGACCAGCCGUUGGUCCUCUUCCUUCGUCCAUGCUCCCUUGUUGGUGUGAGCCUUCUCGCAACAAGGCGACCUGCCCAUUGCGAUGCCAGGAGAUGAAGAAAGAUGCCAAUUCUUGAUCUGCUUCUUUUGUUGUUGUUGCUGUGGUCUGUGUGUAUAUAUACGAGAGGGAAGGAGAGGCUGUGGGAACUCUCCCUAUUGACUCGAUCCACUACUUGUUGAUCCAUUGACCGAGUUGGUGCAAAGAUGGUUGAUAGAAGGUAGGUAGCCUCCAUGUUUGCAGUGGUGUUUCAACUCUCUGAUCCCCCACCGACAGAUCUACACCAUUAAGAACUCUUCCCACCUCUCAAACAACCCCAUGGUCUCCUGCUCUUGUUUAACCUCAAGCUUAAUCAUGUCAGAGUUGGGAAGAAUAUAUGGUAUUGUUUAACCUGAAGCAUUUUCCACGGAAGGGUAAAACCUCA